rnacentral:lncRNA from 1 species
CUUCAGACUGUUCUUCUGAUUCUUGUUGUUCAAGAUUCAUCUUUUUGGAGUAAAAGAAGAGAUGGAAAGAGCAAUUUUGGCAGAGAAAGAUGAAUAGAGUAAAAGGUGAUGAAGGCUUUUGCAAAAAGCUGAAGAAGUGUCUUGCGGAUUGCGGUGAAGAAAGGCGAGUGAGGGGUUUUGAAGAGGUUUUGUUUUCAAGAAUUCAUUUUUGCUCUGUUAAAUUCUGAUAUGAGGAACCUUCUGAGCUUUGAUUAGCCGCCCAAUAUUUUUGUAAUGAGGAGCUUUUGAGCCUUAAUUAGGUGCGUUAUGUCACUUUGAUGCAUUAUGCUACAGCCGUCUGAUUCUCAUAUGAUGAUCUCAUCAAAUGUAGUAGUUAUAUUAUUGCUAUAGCUCAUUUAUUUAGUUAUUUGUAAAGGUAUAAAUGUAGUAGUCGUAUUAUCUUAUUUAUUUAUUUGUAAAGGAAUAAAUUUAGUUAUUUACUGAUAUCGAGAAACAACUAAAAAAAAUCACUUUUAAUUUACUAAUUACCAAUUUUAUCUUGAAUUGUUGCAUCUCUACGUUAAUAGAAGGAAAUUAACUCGCGCCGUGAAAUUAGUUGAUUUAAAAAAAAAUAAUAAAGAGAAAUGUCACAAAGUGUUUUGGAUCAUUAUUUAGUCGGCUAAUGGCCCUACUUCACAUGGGCAUCGAGCAAAGCCAUCUAGACUAACAGAGUGAAAGUGGAACCAAACCAACUCAUGUCACUCGUCUGAUAUCACACCCCGUAAUUUCUGAGUGGCAAAGGAGUUGGGUAAGGAAGAAACGAUGUCGUUUAGGAUAAAAUUCAUACAAUUAUUGCAGCCAUAUGUGGUAAGCCAGGCAAACAACCACUAGCCACCGAAGUUGAUGGGUUCUUAAUUAAAUAAAUGCAUACAUUCUAGUGUCUUAACUUACUCUUUGUCUGUGUUUUCCAAGCAAGACACAUGUUUCACACCCUUUAACCACUCAUUUUCACUCUCUUCUUCUCUCCGAUAGUCACCACUUCUUUGGCCAAUUCAUUGAAAACUUUUAACUCCAAAAAACAAAACUUAAAGGUAAUGCUUAAUUAUUUUGUUAUUUUAUUGCUAAUAUUAUCUUGUUCUUAGGGGAAGAAAAAAAUUAGUGUGAAUUGUUGCACUGUUGUAAUUGUUCUUGGUAAGUUUCAGAUCAAAAUUUGAAGUUUCAACGGAUUUGUUGGCUUCUUUAAGUCGGAAUACUUGAAUAUUGAAAUGGGUGUUGUGAUUUUUGUAGUUGUGACUUAAAUUUCCAAAUUUUAUAGGUUUAUUGUUCUCAUUUAUGUGAUUUGAUGGCCGUUUCAGUGCUUAUAUGGUUACACCAGUAAUGAAACCUUACUUCAUUUCUAGGAAUAGUGGAGGUUUGUUGUCUUUUUUACUACAAUUUAAAAUUGAAUUCGUAAGGCUAAUUUCCGAAAUCGUCCAUAUACCUUGCCAGGCACGCAGCUUUCCUGCAAAUUCUUUAUAGUUAAGAAUUUGCAUGUACAUUACCUGUUGUUGUUUAUUUCGCCUCUUUGCAAUGAUGCUAGGUUUGGACUUGCAGUUGUGUGUGGCUUAAGCUGAUUCGUAGUUUACUCUCCUGGUCAAACUUAUGCAGAUUGGUGAUUGUUUCAGCGCUUUCCAUUGAGAAUUUUGACUGAGAAUUAUAAGUUUCAGAAGAUGACCAUUUUGAAGCAAUCUUCAAGUAAAAACCUAAGGUCUAAAGGCUUUAAGGUGAAACACUUUC